rnacentral:rRNA from 1 species
GACAGAGGGUGCAAACGUUGUUCGGAAUUACUGGGCGUAAAGCGCGUGUAGGCGGCCCUGCAAGUCGGAUGUGAAAUCCCACGGCUCAACCGUGGAAGUGCAUUCGAUACUGGGCGGCUAGAGUCUGGUAGGGGGAUCUGGAAUUCCUGGUGUGAGCGGUGGAAUGCGCAGAUAUCAGGAGGAACACCGGUGGCGAAGGCGGGAUCCUGGGCCAGUACUGACGCUGAGGAGCGAAAGCGUGGGGAGCAAACAGG